rnacentral:tRNA from 2 species
GCACCCGUAGCUCAGCUGGAUAGAGUACUCGGCUACGAACCGAGCGGUCGGAGGUUCGAAUCCUCCCGGGUGCACCA